UGCCGUGACAGCUGAUUAUACAACCCAGAGACGCCCGCGCGCCGGGGCGCCUGCCAGUCCGCAGGACCCCGGCCUCACCUUCCCUGCCUGCUGUUUCCCGCGGAGCCACCUUCCUCCUUCUCGGGGAGCCCUCCACAGACACCCUCCACGUCCUCCCUCCUGCCCACCCAACCAGAGGAAAGAGCCCUUUGGGCCGAAAGCUGCAGGUCUCAUGGCUCCCGAUGAGUGCUCUGAGCCGUUCCUGGGUGAGCGGGGUGCAGCGGGGGAGCCGUCUUCCUGCAGAGAAGCAGUGCAUACGAUGGGGGCCUCCAAACCAGGCAGCAAGAGUGCACGCAUGGACCAGGAUCACCUUCAGAGGGACCCCCUCCUCCCAGGAACACAGAUACGGGGGCCCCUCGACUUCUGUGUGGCUGAGGCAUGAACCCGGAGUCAGCGGAGGGCAAGAAAUGAGCAAAGCCGGCAAUUGAGAACUCCACAUCACAGAUUCCUGUGGCUACAAGGGGCCUCUUGAGGUCAUCAACACGGUUCUCCCACAUCAAGACAAGCCCAUCCUGAAGCUGUCACAGAAGGCAGGCCGUAGUCCUCCGUGAAGGGAUCUCAGGGGAGGCUGCUAGCCUGCCUGGCUGCUAUGAGAGCGGUCUGCGCCUUUCUGAAUCAUAGCACCCAAGACAUUUCAUUUUCCAAUUUUAUGCCAAUACCUAUGUCCCACUCAUGAUUGUGAACUCUUAAGACCUCCCAGUAUCCUCAGGACCUAGCACAUUGGCUGGUUCAGAGGGGUUAUCUAGUACACGUGGGUUACGUGUGGGUGGCCGGGUGAGUGAAUGGGGGGGUGGGCAAGUGUGUCAACAGGUGGGUAUGUCAGUGGGUAGGUCAGUAGGUAGGUCAGUGGGUAAGUCAGUGGGUAGAUGGAUUAAAGUUUAGGCAGAAAAGAGAAAGACAAAAGAUGGUUGUAAUAAGGGGCCUUUACCAAGCACACCCACCAUCAACUGUCAGAAUCUUCAAAUUUGGGGGCCAAAAGGAACUUGAGGGAUCCUCCAAGCGUCACUCCCCCCUUGUUUUGCAUGAAAACAGAGACCCCCGAUACAGGCUGCCUGGUCCAGGAUCACAUGACUAAGAGUGAGCAAAUCCACAGUAACACCUGCUGCCUUGGCCACCUCGACCAGAAAGAAGAAACGGCUCUCCCACCAGCUGUCAGAACCGAAACGAUGCUCACAUCCCUGACUCGGACCCAGAGAGGCACCGCCUCUUACCUCCAACCCGCAAAGCUUCAGCUACGUGCUCCUGAGAAAGUGAUGGGAUCCAGCGGAAGAGGGCACGGGGCCGAAGUGAUGCAGCUCUUCCACCUGGAUACGGCCAGAUUCAGGUGAGCGCCCAACAACUUCCCGUCAGGAGCGCCAGCCCUCCCUCCUCUGCGCUGGACCACACACCGCUACGGGGGAGGCGGGAUCAAGUGGAGCACCUGCGGCUUCCUCCACGACGUCUUCCUGCAAUAAUUCCCACCACGCAAGAAAAAAGCAGCCAAAAUCCAGAAACCAAAAUGAAGCUGUCCAUCUCCAACUUGGGUAUGGAGAAGAGAGACAAAUCAAUCCCCAGUUGUUUCCUGGCUGUCUCCUACAUGCUCGGUCCCGGGGCUGAGCACACACAAAGGACACGUGCAAGCCUAAGUCCUGGACCAAGCCCACAAUUCAGGUCAAGGACUGACUCCUGCCCCUUCAUGCUCUCGUUCGGGCAGCAAAUCAAUACUGAGCACCAGUCACAUGCCCUUCAGCUAGAUUUUGGGGUUUGGGUCUGUUCUCUGCUGCGUAUGCCAGAAUGUUGACCUUGAUUCAAGGAGUGACCCUGCCACCCCCCAUGUCCAUAUGGUGCUUUUUCAUCCUUAAAGUCCAGACACAGAUACGGUCAGUCAGUCCUCACGACCAGUCCAGGGAAGACGUCUGAGUGUUGUCCUGCUCUCCCACAACACAUUUAGGGAAGCUGAGGUGCUGCCGGUUUAAGAGACGCAUCCAUGACCGCACAGUAGGACUGCGCUCAAACCUUCUCCUUUCGUUUUCCCUCUGCUACAGAUCUUUGUCUCCUUGGGAGGGAAGUGGGCAGUGUGUGUUGGAAAAAGAUCUCUGUAGGCAGGUGGCCAGAGUGCACAGGGAUUCAGAGGACGUGGGCAUGAGGAAGGUAAGGGGCAGGCAUCUCCCGAAAGGAUCUGAAGCUGAGGGCGGCUGAGCACAGUUCCUGGCAUGAGCUCAUUCUGAAGCAAGGCAAAGCCAAACAAAAGCCUGUUGUGCUGGCCAGGAGGAAGAGUAUAGAGAAGUGAUCAGGUCGGACCCAGACAAGCCCAUAUUCAUAUCUGUCGGUGCCUCCUUAAACUGAGUGCCCUAACUGAGCCUCAACUUUCUCACCUGUAUCAUGGCAGUAACAGGGCUCAUCCCAUCUCUAUCAAACUCACUGAGGUCAAGAGUCAGGCAUAAAGCAUGUGCCCCAUGUUUCCUCUUUUUACCCCUUGGAGACCUGCGGUGACGCCAGGUGUGUUUGUUGUAGUUGAGGUGAAAUUCACAAAAAAUAAAAGUAACCAUUUUAAUACACACAAUUUAGUGGCAUGUAGUACACCCAUGAUGCCAUGUGACCACCUCUUGUCCUUCUAGAAGAUUUCCAUCACCCCAAGAUAACACCUCAUCCCCAUGAAGCAGGAACACCCCAUUGCCCCCCACCCCGAGCAACCAUCAAUCUGCUUCUGUCUCUAUUCUGGAUAUUUCCUAAAAAUGGAAUUAUGCAAUAUGUGAACUGUCAUGCCUGGCCUUUUUCAAUUUUCUGAGGUUCGUCCAUGUUGUAACAUGUAUCAAUACCUCCUUUACAUACGAGUGCGGUUGUUCGGUCACAGGGUAAUUCUAUAGCUAACUUCGUGAGGAGCUGCAAGCUGGUUUCCACUGCGGCCGUCACCCUGCUACACCCCCACCAGCAGUGCACAGGGCUCCAACAUCUCCCACAGCCUGGCCAACACCGGUUAUUCUCUGCUCUUUUGAAAGUAUGAUCACAGCCAUCCUAGCAGGUAGAAAGAGAGAGCUCAUGGCUUUCAUUUAUACCUUUCCUUAAUGACUAAUGAAGUUAGGCAUCUUUUCAUUCACCAGCCAUUUGCACAUUUCUCUGGAGAAAGGUAAACUGAAGUCUUUUGCUCAUUUCUGAA